GUCACAUGUAGGUAAAUGAUAACUUAAAAUGUGGCAAAUGUAACAGGAGCUUCUGCUUCCACCCAAGAUGAAUAAAUUGGGACAAGAAUUGUCCUCAUGCUAUAAACAACUAGAAAAAUGAAAAAAAAAUGUAUGAAACAACAGUUCCAGAUGUUGGAGAAAGGACAGAGGAGGAUAUGCUGCCAGAGAAAAGGUAUUCUCCAAGCUUGGCAGCUCAAAUGAAAUGGGUCAGCAGGACAAUAAUGGCAACGUAGGACCAUUAACAAACAGAGUCAAACAAAUAGCAAUAGCUUUUCAAUACCAUCAAAACAUAUUUAAUAACUCCUCAUCAAAGGACUUAUUAUGUAGUAAUAGCCUCACAAGAACAUCACCUUCAAAUACUGAGGAUAACAAUGAAAUGUUUUCCCAAUAAAAGAACACUGAAAUUAAUGAAAAC
rnacentral:lncRNA from 10 species